rnacentral:lncRNA from 1 species
GAACGGUGGCUGACACGAAGUGGCAGGCCGCGUCCCCAGUGCUUAACGCCUUCAGCCCUCCUGCCCUAAGUACUGUUACUUCCCUCAACUUUCGAAUGAGGGACCUAGGCCAGAAGGCAGCUCCUAAGCAAAAAGGAAGAACCUCAACCCUAACCCAGAAUGUUACUGUGACCAGAUCCUCGCGAUGCCUUACUCAAACCUGACAGCUGCUCCCACCAAGGUUCAACAGGAUAUCUCCCUGGAGCCUCCCCAGGACUGGGGAUUGAAUCCAGGGCCUUUGUAUGGAGCUACAUCCCCAGCUCUUCGUUAGGUUCAAACUUGUGAUUCUCUUGCCUCAGCAUCCCAAAAUGCUGGGAUUCCAGAGGUGCACCACCAUGUCCCUCCAUAUUUUUUCUAAGAUGC